rnacentral:lncRNA from 1 species
AUGGAAGGAGUUGUCACAGUGUCAUGUCCAGCUCUAGAAGUGGCUCUGUCAACAUUAUGUUUGAUGCUAACUUGCAAGGGAUCAUUACUAAUGGUGAGGUCUGAGAUCUUGGCCCAUGUGCACACCACUGCUUCUGUUGCCAUCAUUGUACUCCAAACCACUACAAGCCCUCCCAAGCCACAAAGCCGAUCGUCACAUGGCAGCCAGGGGAUGUUCUCCGAAGAGGGAGGAGGAAAAGGAAGCUUAUUCAAGCACAACCCACCUGCAGGCUCUGUCUGCCUUGAGAUCUGUGAAUAGUUGGUGUGCUUCUGAGACACCCAGUGCACUAACUUAUGGAUGUGACUCCAAGGCAUGUCUAAGAAAGCUGCUUCAGAUAGAAAAUUAACACUCCUUUUGCAUUUUCAUGAAUUCAAGCUUGUCAGCUGCACACCAUCUUGUUUACAUCUAGGCUGAUGGCUUUGAAAUAGUGAGAAGUUAAGUAUUUAACAGAGGUAGUAAGUUA